rfam:Terrisporobacter sp. 08-306576 Contig097, whole genome shotgun sequence.
UAAGUAAGUCAGAUAAUCGCAGGUAGCAUUAGCUACGUGAGGAAAGUCGGAGCUCCAUAGAGCAGGGUGCUAGGUAACGCCUAGUGGGAGUGAUCCUAAGGAAAGUGCAACAGAAAAUUACCGCCAAGAAUUUUCUUGGUAAGGAUGAAAAGGCGAGGUAAGAGCUCACCGUUUCUCAGGUGACUGAGAAAGCCGUGUAAACCCCACCUGGAGCAAGACCAAAAUAGGGCUAAAAGAGUGUUGCUCGCACUCUCCGGUAGGUAGGUCGCUUGAGCAUAUUGGUGACAAUAUGCCUAGAUAGAUGAUUAUCAAAUACAGAACUCCGCUUAUAGAUUUGCUUGAUUA